AAAUUGCUUCAGAAUUAUGUCAUUUUUUAGAAUUUAUUACACAUUUCAGAUUGAGGGAAUUUUUUUUUCUGAAGGGACUUUUAAAUUUUAUGUGAAAAAAUUGCUUAAGCCCUGUUUUCUCAAAGUGGAACCAUAGUGAUAUUUACUAUAUCAUCAAAGUGUCCUGAAGGGAGAAAUGUGGGGACAGUUUCAAGGGUCAUGUUUAACCUUAGGCUUGUUACACAAUGUGAGCAAACAGCAGCAACCCUGCAUAUUUUGUAUUCUUGGUAUUCUGAAAACAAUUGGGUGUCAAUCAAAUAAGCAUAUUAAACCAGGGUCACUUACCUUGUAAAUGAACGUCUGGGUGGACUCGUUUUAAAAGUUGCCACGUGACAUCGAGCAGAGUUCCUGCACGACACAGUAGGUCUUUGUUGAUGAAAAUGGAUUCAUUAUUUCUUGUCUGCAUUUUUUAAAUCCAAAAAAAGCUCUGAAAAUCAAGUUUUUCAAAUCUCAUGUUGAAACUGCCUUAACUGAACGGAGGAUCAAACCUGGGCCCCCUGCCUGCCUUGGGAGUGUGGAGUCUUAGCCACUGGACUACCAGUGCAAGUAUUUAUUGCUAUCAACUGUACCUUCUGUACUGUUUUUUCUGCGUCUCAUUAGUUUUGGUUCAGCCACCAAAGACCUUGUGAGAAAGCUAUGCCACACUGAAAAGGCAUAUAUAACCCACCACCGAGACUGAUGCUGAAGCUCCGAUAAAGGCUCUGAUACGAAGAGCGGACUCAUUGGAAAAGACCCCGAUGCUGGGAAAGAUUGAGGGCAGGAGGCAACGGAGGAUGAGACAGUUGGAUGGCAUCGUGGUCACAAUGGACGUGAGUUUGAGCAAACUCCGGGAGGCAGUGAAGGACAGGGCAGCCUCACGUGCUGCAGUUCAUGGGGUUGCAAGAGUCGGACACGACCGAGUGACUGAACAACAACACCACCCGAGACUUUAGCACGGGUACUUCGAUUGCAUUGUUCCCCCGCGGAGGGAAUGGAGCCUGCCAAGGGCGCUUUCAAGUUCCAAACAAAAGCCAAGUUAAGGCAUCACUGCUGGAAUCUAUGGAAGUCUGUGUCCCAAACGGAGUGGACUUUACAAGUCUUUCAGAGUGAUAUCAAUGUAGAUCAUUAAUGUGAAGAAACAACAUUUUAUAAUGGGAAUGAUUUUUAAAAUUCUGUGGUAUAUUUCCUCUGUGAAAUGGAAACCUGUUAAUCAAAUGCCAAAUGCAGCUCAGUGUGUUGGGGAGUUCUCAUAGAACUAUUAGAGUUGUUUCCAUGAUGCCCAGUGGCUCCGCGUGCCUUGGGCUCAGUCCCGUGGAGGGGAGCCAGUGCUGAGCAGAGUGCCUGGCCUGGCCUCUGGGGUGGUCAUUUACAGAGGGUGCAGGGGGAGGGGACAUUCCAAGUGUCACAAAGGGGGAUGGGUUCUAGAAAAUAAUAUUCAUUAGGAAGGCACGCAGAGGGCUUCUCAGGUGGCGCUAAUGGUAAGGAACCCACCUGCCAAUGCAGGAGACAUAGGAGUCGUGGGCUCCAUCCCUGGGUUGGGCGAUCCCCUGGGGGAGGAGAAGGCAGCCCACUCCAUAUUCUUACCUGGAGAAUUCCGUGGACAGAGUAGCCUGGCGGGCUACAGUCCAUGGGGUCACAAAGAGGCAAACACGACUGAAGCGACUGAGCACGUACACACGUGAGCUAAGUCAGGACAGGGAAGAAGGCAUAUUUAGGAGGCAAGAUUUGUGAUGGUCCUAGCGCAAGAAGGCUAAUUCAGAGUGGGGGUACAAAUAGAUAAAGAGAAGGAGAGGAGGGGUGAAGGCGAAAGUUAGCCUUACUCACAGGAAGGGAAUACAGAGUUUAGGGCUGUUUAAAGGUGAGAUUAAAUGAAAUGGAUUGGAUUGAUGGAGUUGGAUUGAUCAUCCUGUUCUGGCAUUAUGUUUGAAUGUUUUUUGAAUUCUGAUCUGUGUAUUUCCUCAUAAUACAUAUGCCAGUAUUGAAGUGGUUCAGUGACCCAGGGAUCUGAGUUCACAGAGUCACUUUAAGGAGACAGAGAGAUGGGUUUCUAACCUUGCAACUAUUAGGCUGCGUUCAGGUCCCACUUAAGAAUAUUACCCGGAUUUAAGAUAAUCCUCAGAGGAUUUUGUUUCCAUUAAAAAUCUGGAGCACAGGAUAGAUGUAAUCCUUGAUCCUUCAUUUAAUAAAAUGUAAUGGGAAAUGGGUGCACAUACACCAGGACCCUGAGAUAGCAGAUGAUUAGAAAAAACUUGAUUGGAAUAUAUUCAGACCAAUAAAAAUACAUUUGAAAUCUUUGGGUGACUUUUCAUAUGGAUCAGAGAAAUGUAGUUUCCCCUCUCCUUUGGUACUCUAAUCCAGAAAAAAAAUCUCUUUGUCAGAGUAUUACAGAAGCAUUUAUGCUUGCCAAUAUCCGUAGGGUGCCAAGGCCUGGUAUUACUGAUUCUUGAAAGUCAGGGAGAAGAUUUUAAGCAUCUGCCCAGUAGCAAAACACCGCACUAGAUGCUUUGAAGUUAAAUGAUGUUAAGGAGAUAUGGCCAAACCUCUGAUAAAAUGUAAAACAUCCCCUAUUGAAUAUAUUGUGCUGCUUUCAAAAUUGGUGGUGUUUUUGUACCGUGUUGCAGUUUCAAAGUAAUUUCGUAGGCUUCUUUUCAUUUGAUACUAGUCAUAUGUGGAGCGUUUACUGCGUUCCAGGUAUCAUAAAAUAUCACCUCAUUUAGUCUUUCCAAGAAGCCUCAUUCUAAGAAUUAGGCAGGUACUGUUAUCUUUACAGAGAAGGUCCUCAUGGCAGUUCUGACGGUAGUCCAAACAAGCUUUUAACAUAGUUUAGGAGACAGGCUCACUGAAGGUUAAAUGACUUCCAUAAGGCUAUAUGACCUGAUGACCUAGUCUUCUUAACCCUUUCUCAUAGACUGCAAUGAUACCAGCAUGUGAACUUUCUGACAUUAAAUGUCUUUAACGUAGUAUGUUUAUACCAACCCUUGGUUUUUAUCUUUAUAUCUAAGGCCAACAUUUUAUGUUGAGAGAAGCAGGAUACUAUGCCAUGGAUUUAUUCAACAACUUAUGCAGCCUCAUAGAUUAGACUGAGACAUGGAGGGAGAAUUACCCCCCCAGAUUUUAAGAGGGCAGGUAUAUUUGAUUAAGUGGAGAACUUUGUUAAGGAGAUGGACCCAUGGUAAGAAACUUCUCCUGUUACCUGUUCCAGUGCAGUCUUGUUUGGGCCGUGUGAUGAUGUGUGUGAGCAUGGCUAUCUUACAUUGGGUACUUGGAAAUAAACUUUGAGACAGAUUUUCAUGCAGAAAGUUUGCUCCAAAUGUAUUCAGGAGAGAUAUCUAUAAGGUCAUGGGGAAGACAGGACUGGGCUGAGGGAGGCACUGACCUGUAUUUCUGUGGCUUCGGGACCCCAGCUGAUGUUACAGGGAGCUCUGGAGCUCAGAUGACCCUCUAGCAUUGUCCCAUAUUGAGGCGUGGGGACCAGAUCUUUGUUCUCCUUCACGAGCCAGUCACUGGCCAUAGGUGGUCCCCUCAGAGGAGCCGAGAUCCUGGAUCCGGCAGAUCCCAGCGGUAGAGGGCAGUUCCCGGGGGGAGCUCAGCUGUGAGUCACCAGCAUCCAGUCUUCUUAGCAGCUGGGCUGUGAGUGUGUCCACCCUGAAGAGGGGACAUGGGUGGAGUGCCCUAGUGUGCACUACAUCCGUGCUGUGCCACUCAAAUCCACUUUUUGUUGUUGUCCAGUUGCUCAGUCAUGUCUGACUCUUUGUGACCCCAUGGACUACAGCACACCAGGCUUCCUGUCCUUCUCUGUCUCCCGGAGUUUGCGCACAUUCAUGUCCAUUGAGUCAGUGAGCUAUCUAACCGUCUCAUCCUGUGCUGCCCCGUUCUCCUUUUGUCUUUCGUCUUUUCCCAGCAUAUCAGUAUUUUCCAACGAGUUGGCUUUUUGCAUCAGGUAGCCAAAGUAUUGGAGCUUCAGCUUCAGUCUUUUCAGUGAAUGUUCAGUGUUAAUUUCCUUUAGAAGUGACUGAUUUGAUCUUCUUGCAGGGGACUCUUAAGAAUCUUCUCCAGCACCACACAUUGAAAGCUUUAGUUCUUUAGUGCUCAGCCUUCUUUAUGGUCCAGCUGUCACAUCUGUACACGACUAUUGGAAAAACCAUAGCUUUGACUAUAUGGACCUUUGUUGGCAAAGUGAUGUCUCUGCUUUUCAAUACAUUGUGCUGUGCUUAGUUGCUCAGUCGUGUCCGACUCUUUGUGACCCUGUGGACUGUAGCCCGCCAGGCUCCUCUGUCCAUGGGAUUCUCCAGGCAAGAACACUGGAGUGGGUUGCCAUGCCCUCCUCCAGGGGAUCUUCCCAACCCAGGGAUCGAACCCAGGUCUCCUGCAUUGCAGGUGGAUUCAUUGCUGUCUGAGCCACCAGGGAAGCCCAAUACACUGCCUAGUUUUGUCAAAUCCACUGGAUUUUUAUAAUAAAUCUCCCCUAUCUGGGAACAUUUUUUUUUAAAUCAGAUUUUGAUUGGUCUUAUUUUCUGGGAACGUACAAAUGAGGCUUAGUAGGAAAUACUAUGGCUUUUGCAGCCAUAGUUGAUCUCAAGGCUGUAACUAAUACUUGUAUGAUCCUUCUCUACCGUUCAUUCUCGGUUUCUCUCAAUUCUGG
ensembl:lncRNA